rnacentral:rRNA from 1 species
AUUGAACGCUGGCGGCAUGCCUUACACAUGCAAGUCGAACGGCAACACGGGUGCUUGCACCUGUUGGCGAGUGGCGAACGGGUGAGUAAUACAUCGGAACAUGUCCUUUAGUGGGGGAUAGCCCGGCGAAAGCCGGAUUAAUACCGCAUACGAUCCACGGAUGAAAGCGGGGGACCUUCGGGCCUCGCGCUAUAGGGUUGGCCGAUGGCUGAUUAGCUAGUUGGUGGGGUAAAGGCCUACCAAGGCGACGAUCAGUAGCUGGUCUGAGAGGACGACCAGCCACACUGGGAGUGAGACACGGACCAGACUCCUACGGGAGGCAGCAGUGGGGAAUUUUGGACAAUGGGCGAAAGCAUGAUCCAGCAAUGCCGAGUGUGUGAAGAAGGCCUUCGGGUUGUAAAGCACUUUUGUCCGGAAAGAAAUCCUUGGCUCUAAUACAGUCGGGGGAUGACGGUACCGGAAGAAUAAGCACCGGCUAACUACGUG